AUUGAACGCUAGCGGCAGGCUUAACACAUGCAAGUCGAACGAGUGGCGGACGGGUGAGUAAUGUCUGGGAAACUGCCUGGUAGAGGGGGAUAACUACUGGAAACGGUAGCUAAUACCGCAUACCAUCAGAGGUGCCCAGAUGGGAUUAGCUAGUUGGUGGGGUAAAGGCUCACCAAGGCAACGAUCCCUAGCUGGUCUGAGAGGAUGACCAGCCACACUGGAACUGAGACACGGUCCAGACUCCUACGGGAGGCAGCAGUGGGGAAUUUUGGACAAUGGGCGAAAGCCUGAUGCAGCCAUGCCGCGUGUAUGAAGAAGGCCUUCGGGUUGUAAAGUACUUUCAGCGGGGAGGCGGUAUCCGCAGAAGAAGCACCGGCUAACUCCGUGCCAGCAGCCGCGGUAAUUC
rnacentral:rRNA from 1 species